rnacentral:rRNA from 1 species
AUCCUGGCUCAGAGCGAACGCUAGCGGCGGGCUUAACACAUGCAAGUCGAGCGGAGGUUUCGGCCCUCAGCGGCGAACGGGUGAGUAACACGUGGGUAACGUACCCUUUGGUGGGGAAUAACCUAGGGAAACCUGGGCUAAUACUGCAUAUGUCCUUCGGGAUGAAAGUCUUCGGACGCCAGGGGAUCGGCCUGCGGCCCCAUUAUUUAAUCCUAGUUGGUAGGGUAACGGCCUACCAAGGGUACGAUGGGUAGCUGGUCUGAGAGGAUGAUCAGCCACACUGGAACUGAGACACGGUCCAGACUCCUACGGGAGGCAGCAGUGGGGAAUAUUGGACAAUGGGCGCAAGCCUGAUCCAGCCACGCCGCGUGGGUGAUGAAGGCCUUCGGGUUGUAAAGCCCUGUCGGAGGGGACGAAGUCUUCGGAUUGACGGUACCUUCCAAGAAAGC